AGCCAGCUAGUCAGCCACAAGCAAGUGACCAAUCCCUGAUCUACAAGCCAGCUAAUCAGCCACAAGCAAGUGACCAAUCCCUGUUCUAUAAACCAGCUAGUCAGCAGCCAGCAUGGAGCCAACCACCUCUCCAACAGCUAGCUAGUCAGCCACUACCAAAUCACCAACCAUCUGUCUUCCAGCAAAAUAGCCAGCAAAGUUUAGAUUACUUGCAGCCAGCAGGCUCGGAAUCUGGCUUAAGGAGAAACCAACCACUACAAAUUUUGCUAAGAGAGAUAUUGACAAAACAAGAAAUGCUUCUAGACCAGCAAAAUACAAUAAUGAGAAUCCUACAGUCAACACAUCGCCCAAGGUCUGAUGUCCAUGAUGGGGCCAAGUUCAGAGAUCGUCUUCCUAUCAAAAAUGUUGAGUCUCUCCAGUGCCUGGAGGCUGAGCUGAAGAUGAAUCCUGAUGCUAAAUCAGAAUUGACUACCUUUCUGGGUCUGGUUGGUGGCUUUGACCUCAAAGACACCGUGUGGAGAGUGCUGAAAGCCACUUUUACAACUGCUGUUGCACGUGUUAUGAAUUGGAGAGGAGUUAAUGGGAAGAUUGGUGUCCACAGCCUGGUCUUAAAGGAAGUUGUC